CUUUAGGUUGGCUCAGGGCCGGCUUAAAAUUUAUUGUUCAGACUUAAAAAAUGACGUAACUCUUAAGUGUGAUUUGGGUCUAUGAAAGUCUAUGUGUGCCAGCAGUUACUGUAAUGAAGGUGAAGUUGGAAUUUAAAAAAAAGUUCAGUUGGAAUAUGGUACACAGCUGGCAAAGGAAUGCCAUGGAAUAGGUAUAGCAUAUUAUGUGAUAAAGAAAUAGUAUUGCUAUUUGACUGUGGUGCAUACACUUGCCCCCGACACCUGUAAGGUGUGAUGUCCUCUGCCUGCGCAUUUUGACUAGCAAUAUGUUUACCAUGUGUCAUAAUUUUUUUGGAGAUGGUGUAAAUAAUGAAAUCUUAUAUUAAGAUAUAAUAGAAAGAGUUAUUAAUAUUUAAAGUCUGUAAAAUUACAAAAAAAAAAGGAUUAGUUUUAGGACAUUGCGCUAUUCUGCAAAUUGAUUUUCUACUAGAUGAAUUUUUAUAUUUUUUAGAAAAAAUCUGGAAGAUAAGGCGAGACUUGGUUUAUUCCUUGUUUUGCGUACUCUCGUGUGUUUUCUUAUUUAGCAAAUAGUUUUGCCAAAAUCAUCCAGACGGAGGAGAAAAUAAAAAUAAAAUAAGAUGGUUAAAUGCUUCAAAUUUAUAUAAUUAAGAAGAAAUACAUAUCUUAUCCUUGGAGAUUUCAAGGCUGCAGAGGGCGUAAUAAAAAUAUAGAAAUAUCUUUUAUUUUUCUCUGAAAUUGCACUUUUUGGUGGCGACGGGUAUGCUAAUUGGCCAAAAAUAAAAUUUUGUUUUUAUUUGAAAUAAUCAGUAUUUGCAGUCGGCGGGUUCGCAAGGUAUAAAAAGUCCCGCCUAAGAGUUAAUAUUCGGUGAAUACACUACACUUUAAUAAAAGAUUCAAAUGAAUAGAGCAGUGUUAUGUCAAAGCUGUUUUCCAGAACAUUGUAUAUGUCAGAUUAUUAUAAAGUUGCUAAUUGCUUUAAUGUCAAAUGGUUAGUUAGUUUUAUUGCCUUUAGAUGAGGUGUUUGUCAUAUGGUCGCUAUCGUUCCUCCAGUCUGUCGCCCCUCAUCCAACCGGCCGGCCAGCAGCUGCUUAGCUAGCUAGUUUAAUCAAUUUCAGUUGCCUAAAGCUGUGUAUCGAUAUACAAGGUUUCUUUGCUGGAAUAGACUGCUACAGCUAUCUACUUAAAACUUAAAUAUGAGUCUUUGUGCACAAUGCGGCCUGAAGGUUGUCGGAGAGGACUCGGGGUGCACAGCUAUGGACCGUGUGUUCCAUGUUGCAUGCUUCACGUGUGAAAACCUGUCACACCAAGUUACGUGGACAACCAUUCUAUGCUAUGGAGUCUAAAGCUUUCUGUGAGAACUGUUAUAUAUCGUCUCUUGAGAAGUGUUCCACUUGCUCCAAGCCAAUCACUGAGCGGAUCUUGCGAGCAACAGUAAAACCUUACCACCCUGCUUGUUUCACCUGUGUUGUGUGUGGCGAGAGCCUUGAUGGUGUUCCAUUUACUGUCGAUAGUCAAUAUUUGUUUUAUAUACCUCAUGCAUAGAGGCCUAAAAAAAUAGUUAGUUCCUAGCCGGUUAUAUUAGGGGCAUAAUGAUACUAGACGUACUACUACUAGGCGUAGGCCUACUCGACUAGAUCUCGAGAUCCUCCUUCAUCUCAAAAUGAGCACCCUCCAUAUUUGUUUAUCGCCUACUCGCUAAUCCGUGAUGCGGUCAGGGGAUAACUUUGUGGUGGAGGUCGCCGUCCCCCUUACCGUCAGCAGCGCGAUGUAGUGGGCCUAGAGUUUGCACGUUGCGACAGGUCAAAAAAGUACUGUUUUUGAGGGGAAUAGUACUUUUUGAUGGGAAUAGUACUUUUUAUUGCCCCGCUUA
rnacentral:misc_RNA from 1 species